rnacentral:rRNA from 1 species
CCUACGGGUGGCAGCAGUGAGGAAUAUUGGUCAAUGGGCGGGAGCCUGAACCAGCCAAGUCGCGUGAGGGAAGACGGUCCUAUGGAUUGUAAACCUCUUUAGGCGGGGAGCAAGGCCGGGCACGCGUGCCCGGAGGGAGAGUACCCGCAGAAUAAGCAGCGGCUAACUCCGUGCCAGCAGCCGCGGUAAUACGGAGGAUGCGAGCGUGAUCCGGAUGUAUUGGGUUUAAAGGGUGCGUAGGCGGAUUUUUAAGUCAGCGGUAAAAUGUCCGGGCUCAACCCGGGCCGGCCGUUGAAACUGGGUAUCUUGAGUGGGCGAGAAUUAUGCGGCAUGCGUGGUGUAGCGGUGCAAUGCAUAGCUAUCACGCAGAACUCCGAUUGCGAAGGCAGCAUACCGGCGCCCGACUGACGCUGAGGCACGAAAGCGUGGGGAUCGAACAGGAUUAGAUACCCCGGUAGUC